AGUGAACGCUGGCGGUAGGCCUAACACAUGCAAGUCGAACGGCAGCACAGUAAGAGCUUGCUCUUACGGGUGGCGAGUGGCGGACGGGUGAGGAAUACAUCGGAAUCUACUUUUUCGUGGGGGAUAACGUAGGGAAACUUACGCUAAUACCGCAUACGACCUACGGGUGAAAGCAGGGGAUCUUCGGACCUUGCGCGAUUGAAUGAGCCGAUGUCGGAUUAGCUAGUUGGCGGGGUAAAGGCCCACCAAGGCGACGAUCCGUAGCUGGUCUGAGAGGAUGAUCGGCCACACUGGAACUGAGACACGGUCCAGACUCCUACGGGAGGCAGCAGUGGGGAAUAUUGGACAAUGGGCGCAAGCCUGAUCCAGCCAUACCGCGUGGGUGAAGAAGGCCUUCGGGUUGCAAAGCCCUUUUGUUGGGAAAGAAAAGCAGCAGGUUAAUACCCCGCUGUUCUGACGGUACCCAAAGAAUAAGCACCGGCUAACUUCGUG
rnacentral:rRNA from 1 species